rnacentral:lncRNA from 1 species
GGCACUUUACUCAUGACAUUUGAAGACGGUCUUCGUGAAGGCAGGAGACGUCAGUGCUACCGGCUGUCAUAUCUGAUCCACAUCUCCCUCUUUGAAGUGCGGUCAUGUCCGAGUGAGCAUCAUGUUCCGUGUUUUCUGAGAAAGGCUCAUUGGCUGACAACAGGAGGAGGAGGAGAAGGAGGAAGAGGAGGCUCGAGCUGAAGCAAGUCUCCAUGUCCCACUGCAUCCUCAGGUUACUCACCAGCCUCAUCCAUUAUUGCUGGCCCUCAUCCAUUAUGGAUGAGCAGGUACAAUGCCACACGACUCCGGACUCCAUGCUCCCAGUACCUUCUCCCCACUGCGGCUAAAGCCCUGCCUGGAACUUCCACCGCACUGGAUCUUUGCUCACAUCUCUGCCCCGUGACC